GAGCUGUCGCGUCUGGUCGUGGUCUGGCGGAGCUGCGGUUGGCUUGUGGCGUCUCCGCCGCCGCCGCCCUCCCUUCCUCUUCCCCAUCUUCUUCUCUCGGUCCCGGGAGCCCCCGCCCGGAGAGAGUCGCGGUUGCUGAUCGUGGUGCUUGAGUAGAGCCGUGGUUGGUGACAGCAUGACGAGCGAGGUGAUAGAAGACGAGAAGCAAUUCUAUUCCAAGGCCAAGACCUACUGGAAACAAAUCCCACCCACGGUGGACGGCAUGCUUGGGGGGAAGGCCCGAACAAGACAGGAACGUCCUGUGCCCUGGACUGUGGAGCUGGCAUUGGGAGGAUCACCAAGCGGCUGCUCCUGCCGCUGUUCAGAGAGGUGGAUAUGGUCGACAUAACGGAGGACUUCCUGGUUCAAGCCAAGACCUACCUGGGGGAGGAGGGCAAGAGGGUGAGGAACUACUUCUGUUGUGGGCUCCAGGACUUCACCCCGGAGCCGGACUCUUACGACGUGAUCUGGAUCCAGUGGGUGAUAGGCCACCUCACCGAUCAGCACCUGGCCGAGUUCCUGCGGCGCUGCAAGGGC
rnacentral:lncRNA from 1 species